rnacentral:rRNA from 1 species
CUACGGGAGGCAGCAGCUAAGAAUCUUCCCCAAUGGGCGCAAGCCUGAGGGAGUGACGCCGCGUGGAUGAUGAAGGCUAUUAUAGUUGUAAAAUCCUUUUCUAUAGGAAGAAAGUAUGUGUAACAUCAUGCUGACGGUAUUGUAGGAAUAAGCUCCGGCUAAUUACGUGCCAGCAGCCGCGGUAAUACGUAAGGAGCGAGCGUUGUUCGGAUUCAUUGGGCGUAAAGGGUGCGUAGGCUGAAUGAAAAGUUGGAUGUGCAAAUUCGGGGCUCAACUCCGAACCUGCAUCCAAAACUUUCAAUCUUGAGGUCUGCAGAGGUUAGCGGAAUUUCUGGUGUAGGAGUGAAAUCUAUAGAUAUCAGAAAGAACACCGGCGGCGAAGGCGGCUAACUGGGCAGAACCUGACGCUGAAGCACGAAAGCUAGGGUAGCGAACGGGAUUAGAUACCCGGGUAGUC